UCGGAGCUUGUUUGGCUAGUAAGAAAAAUACAAUCAAAGUGAGUAGGUAAGACAGAGCAAAGCUCUGUAUUUUACUUCCUUCAAAACUAUACAAAAAGUUGUCUCUGAGAACAAGCUCCCGAGAGAUGUCUCUGUAAUCAAAAUUACAAACAAUAUAUAUGAGAUUAUUCACCCCUUGUUCUUACUUACUAACUAAGGAAUCCUAUGAUUGGUGGAUUACAAUGAGAAAAUGGGGAUUUAAACAACAAAUAUCUGAAGAAAAAAAUCUAAAAGUGUCG
rnacentral:lncRNA from 1 species